GCUAAAGGAUCUUCGACUAAGUACCGACACGUCCUGUGUCGAACGUCGAUGUCACCACCUCGA
rfam:Virgibacillus soli strain PL205 scaffold000007, whole genome shotgun sequence.